rnacentral:rRNA from 1 species
GACGAACGCUGGCGGCGUGCUUAACACAUGCAAGUCGAACGGAAAGGCCCUGCUUUUGUGGGGUGCUCGAGUGGCGAACGGGUGAGUAACACGUGAGUAACCUGCCCUUGACUUUGGGAUAACUUCAGGAAACUGGGGCUAAUACCGGAUAGGAGCUCCUGCUGCAUGGUGGGGGUUGGAAAGUUUCGGCGGUUGGGGAUGGACUCGCGGCUUAUCAGCUUGUUGGUGGGGUAGUGGCUUACCAAGGCUUUGACGGGUAGCCGGCCUGAGAGGGUGACCGGCCACAUUGGGACUGAGAUACGGCCCAGACUCCUACGGGAGGCAGCAGUGGGGAAUAUUGCACAAUGGGCGGAAGCCUGAUGCAGCAACGCCGCGUGCGGGAUGACGGCCUUCGGGUUGUAAACCGCUUUCGCCUGUGACGAAGCGUGAGUGACGGUAAUGGGUAAAGAAGCACCGGCUAACUACGUGCAAGCAGCCGCGGUGAUACGUAGGGUGCGAGCGUUGUCCGGAUUUAUUGGGCGUAAGGGCUCGUAGGUGGUUGAUCGCGUCGGAAGUGUAAUCUUGGGGCUUAACCCUGAGCGUGCUUUCGAUACGGGUUGACUUGAGGAAGGUAGGGGAGAAUGGAAUUCCUGGUGGAGCGGUGGAAUGCGCAGAUAUCAGGAGGAACACCAGUGGCGAAGGCGGUUCUCUGGGCCUUUCCUGACGCUGAGGAGCGAAAGCGUGGGGAGCGAACAGGCUUAGAUACCCUGGUAGUCCACGCUGUAAACGGUGGGUACUAGGUGUGGGGUCCAUUCCACGGGUUCCGUGCCGUAGCUAACGCUUUAAGUACCCCGCCUGGGGAGUACGGCCGCAAGGCUAAAACUCAAAGGAAUUGACGGGGCCCCGCACAAGCGGCGGAGCAUGCGGAUUAAUUCGAUGCAACGCGUAGAACCUUACCUGGGUUUGACAUGGAUCGGGAGUGCUCAGAGAUGGGUGUGCCUCUUUUGGGGUCGGUUCACAGGUGGUGCAUGGCUGUCGUCAGCUCGUGUCGUGAGAUGUUGGGUUAAGUCCCGCAACGAGCGCAACCCUUGUUCACUGUUGCCAGCACGUUAUGGUGGGGACUCAGUGGAGACCGCCGGGGUCAACUCGGAGGAAGGUGGGGAUGACGUCAAGUCAUCAUGCCCCUUAUGUCCAGGGCUUCACGCAUGCUACAAUGGCUGGUACAGAGAGUGGCGAGCCUGUGAGGGUGAGCGAAUCUCGGAAAGCCGGUCUCAGUUCGGAUUGGGGUCUGCAACUCGACCUCAUGAAGUCGGAGUCGCUAGUAAUCGCAGAUCAGCAACGCUGCGGUGAAUACGUUCCCGGGGCU